GACGAACGCUGGCGGCGUGCUUAACACAUGCAAGUCGAACGGAAAGGCCCUGCUUUUGUGGGGUGCUCGAGUGGCGAACGGGUGAGUAACACGUGAGUAACCUGCCCUUGACUUUGGGAUAACUUCAGGAAACUGGGGCUAAUACCGGAUAGGAGCUCCUGCUGCAUGGUGGGGGUUGGAAAGUUUCGGCGGUUGGGGAUGGACUCGCGGCUUAUCAGCUUGUUGGUGGGGUAGUGGCUUACCAAGGCUUUGACGGGUAGCCGGCCUGAGAGGGUGACCGGCCACAUUGGGACUGAGAUACGGCCCAGACUCCUACGGGAGGCAGCAGUGGGGAAUAUUGCACAAUGGGCGGAAGCCUGAUGCAGCAACGCCGCGUGCGGGAUGACAGCCUUCGGGUUGUAAACCGCUUUCGCCUGUGACGAAGCGUGAGUGGCGGUAAUGGGUAAAGAAGCACCGGCUAACUACGU
rnacentral:rRNA from 1 species